GACAGAGGUUGAAGGUUUCCUUUUGGGGUAGAGGUUGAAGGUUCUCCUUUUGGGACAGUGGUUGAAGGUCUUUUGGGGUAGAGAUUGAAAGUUUCCUUUUGGGGUAGAGGUUGGACAGAGGUUGAAGGUCUCCUUUUGGGGUAGAGGUUGAAGGUCUUGUUUUGGGGUAGGUAGAGGUUGAAGUUCCCCUUUUGGGGUAGAGGUUGAAGACUCUUUCAACUUGGAGGUUGGAGAAUUCCUUUUGGGACAGAAGUAGAAGUUCUCCUUUUGGGGUAGAGCUUGAAGACGUCUACGUUGAGCUGGUUGGAAGGAAAGAAGCUCCCCAAGAGCAGUUUUGGAGCAAAAUAUUACCCAAGAUCAUCUCCAGUAGACUUAAACUGAAGGAAUUUUUGCUCUGGUGCAACGUGUGGUCCCAUUCCCAAUGGUCACACGUAUGGUCGUGCCACAGCCCAACGCAUUUUGUUGAGUGACAUCAAGAGGCAAGUUGGGGUUGGGUUUUUUUGGGUUUUUUUGGACUGAUUUUUGCCAUUUUGCACCAAUUCAGGUGAACGGUCUCUUCACCCGCCUCCCAGCCCCGGUGUCUGAAGCCGUUUCCCUGGAUGUGAUGGAGGGGAACAUCACCAUCUCUCACAGCUCGGGGUUGGAGGUGAUCUUCAGUCCCAGUGGGGAGGUGACAUUGGCCGUGAAGGCCACUCUGGUCAACCAUCUCUGUGCCCCCUGUGGCAAUUUCAAUGGGGAUGCCAAGGAUGACCUGAGGUUGCCCAGUGGCCGCGUGGCUGAGAGCAUCGCUGAGGUCGUCGAUGCCUGGAAAGCCAAGGAUUUUGCAGGAUGCGAUUGAGACACAAAAGCAAAGGAGGUUAUUCUGGUAAGUGAAUUUUCUUUGCUGUCGCAUCCCACGCUGAAAAAUAACACUGCUUCAGUCCCGUGGUUGGAUGAGGAUUUGUGUAAUUCUUCUUAACGAGUUCAUCAGGAUAAUUGGGGUUUUCAGCUGCUUUGUCCCUGUGAGAUGGGAAGGGUGAAAGAGGAGGAAACGGAGUGAUUUGGACGAAGAGCCAUUUCACUGGGAAAAAGGAAGGAAAAGCUUGCCAAACAUUGGGAGAUAUUGUCAAAUAUCAGGUGAUUUUGCCAAAUAUCAGGGGAUUUUUAACAAUAGAUAGAUUUGGAUAGAAUAAACCCCAUAAAACACGACA
rnacentral:lncRNA from 1 species